rnacentral:rRNA from 1 species
CCUACGGGAGGCAGCAGUGAGGAAUAUUGGUCAAUGGACGAGAGUCUGAACCAGCCAAGUAGCGUGAAGGAUGACUGCCCUAUGGGUUGUAAACUUCUUUUAUAAAGGAAUAAAAGGAGGCACGUGUGCCUUUUUGCAUGUAUUUUAUGAAUAAGGAUCGGCUAACUCCGCGCCAGCAGCCGCGGUAAUACGGAGGAUCCGCGAGUUUUCCGGAUGUAUUGGGUUUAAAGGGAGCGUAGAUGGGUUGUUAAGUUAGUUGUGAAAGUUUGCGGGUCAACCGUAAAAUUGCAGUUGAUAAUGGCAGUCGUGAGUACAGUUGAGGUAGGCGGAAUUCGUGGUGUAGCGGUGAAAUGCUUAGAUAUCACGAAGAACCCCGAUUGCGAAGGCAGCUUUCCAAGCUGUGACUGACAUUGAUGCUCGAAAGUGUGGGUAUCAAACAGGAUUAGAUACCCCAGUAGUC